rnacentral:tRNA from 1 species
GGCACGGUGGUGCAGUGGGUAGCACGGUCGCCUCACAGCAAGAAAGUCGUGGGCUCGAAUCUCCACUUGGGGCC